UGUAUAUAAGCAAUGCCUUUCUGCUCAAUAAACCAGACUUCUUACCCUCAACUCGCAGCCUCAACUCGUGUUGUAGGGAAUUGCUGAUCACUAGCUCUGCUCAGAGCUCCAGGAAUACUUGCAGGAAGAGGUGCUAAAUUGGAACUUUCUACCGCUCUCCAGGAUCGGGGACAAGGACAUCCAAGCGGUCCAACCCUCAGCUAGCCUGAGGCAACCGUAACA